rnacentral:rRNA from 1 species
GCUUAACACAUGCAAGUCGAACGGCAGCACAGGGUAGCUUGCUUAUCCGGGUGGCGAGUGGCGGACGGGUGAGUAACCGCGUAGGAAUCUACCUUUUCGUGGGGGAUAACCGUAGGGAAACUUACGCUAAUACCGCAUGCGACCUUCGGGUGAAAGCGGCGGACCGCAAGGCGUCGCGCGAUUGGAUGAGCCCAUGUCGGAUUAGCUUGUUGGCGGGGUAAUGGCCCACCAAGGCGACGAUCCGUAGCUGGUCUGAGAGGAUGAUCAGCCACACUGGAACUGAGACACGGUCCAGACUCCUACGGGAGGCAGCAGUGGGGAAUAUUGGACAAUGGGCGCAAGCCUGAUCCAGCCAUGCCGCGUGAGUGAAGAAGGCCCUCGGGUUGUAAAGCUCUUUUGUCCGGAAAGAAAAGCUUUCGGCUAAUACCCGGAAGUCCUGACGGUACCGGAAGAAUAAGCACCGGCUAACUUCGUGCCAGCAGCCGCGGUAAUAC